UACGUAGGUGGCAAGCGUUGUCCGGAUUUACUGGGCGUAAAGGGCGUGCAGGCGGUCUGUUAAGUGCAGGGUGAAAGCUCCCGGCUCAACUGGGAGAGGUCCUUGCAUACUGGCGGACUUGAGGGGGGUAGAGGAAAGUGGAAUUCCCGGUGUAGUGGUGAUAUGCGUAGAUGUCGGGAGGAACACCUGUGGCGAAAGCGGCUCACUGGACCACAACUGACGCUGAGGCGCGAAAGCUAGGGGAGCAAACAGG
rnacentral:rRNA from 1 species